rnacentral:rRNA from 1 species
CCUACGGGUGGCAGCAGUGAGGAAUAUUGGUCAAUGGACGCAAGUCUGAACCAGCCAGGCCGCGUGCAGGAAGACGGCUCUAUGAGUUGUAAACUGCUUUUGUACGAGGGUAAACGCAGAUACGCGUAUCUGUCUGAAAGUAUCGUAAGAAUAAGGAUCGGCUAACUCCGUGCCAGCAGCCGCGGUAAAACGGAGGAUUCAAGCGUUAUCCGGAUUUAUUGGGUUUAAAGGGUGCGUAGGCGGUCGGAUAAGUUAGAGGUGAAAGCCCGAGGCUCAACUUCGGAAUUGCCUCUGAUACUGUUCGGCUAGAGAGUAGUUGCGGUAGGCGGAAUGUAUGGUGUAGCGGUGAAAUGCUUAGAGAUCAUACAGAACACCGAUUGCGAAGGCAGCUUACCAAGCUACUUCUGACGUUGAGGCACGAAAGCGUGGGGAGCAAACAGGAUUAGAUACCCGAGUAGUC